rnacentral:rRNA from 1 species
UACGGAGGAUGCAAGCGUUAUCCGGAAUGAUUGGGCGUAAAGCGUCCGCAGGUGGCUAUGUAAGUCUGCUGUUAAAGAGUGAGGCUCAACCUCAUAAGAGUAGUGGAAACUACAUGGCUAGAGUGCGUUCGGGGCAGAGGGAAUUCCUGGUGUAGCGGUGAAAUGCGUAGAGAUCAGGAAGAACACCGGUGGCGAAAGCGCUCUGCUAGGCCGCAACUGACACUCAUGGACGAAAGCUAGGGGAGCGAAUGGG